CCCUUGCAGCCGCCUACAAUGAAAUUUGCGAAGUUUUUUCGGUUUCGGCGCCAUUUUCGAGUGGACUCGGAGUGUUGAGAAAAAACUGUGGAUCCUGGAAUUCUGCUGUGGAUUUUACUGGUUUUCUGGAGUACUGUAAGUUGAAGUCUUGUCCCGCAGGCCCUCGCGAGCACCAGUAGCUCCUGGUCGUAGUGACACCCUCGCCCUGGUGAAUACAGCUGAUCCUGCUGUUCCCACUGAAGCAGCAAUUGCCUGAUUUUGUCCGUGGAGUCAGUGCCAGAAGAGCCAAUGUGCUGUGUUCAGAGGUAAGUUGGGAAGGUAAGCUCAUGUGUCCCACCUGCUCCGAAAUAACCUGUGGCAUCUGCAUCCCUCUGGGCAAAUGCAGGUUCCUCUGAAAUCCAUAUCCCUUCGUGAAUACUGCAGGUAAUGCCUUGGAGAGGUUGAGAUAAGCUCAAAUCAUCCUGUUCAGCUGCCCAUUUCUGAUCGAAAGUUGAGAUUUCCAUAGCACAAACUGAGUUUGAAGAGUGAGAUGGGAUGAUCCAAUCACAGAACUUUCUAUUGCUUAAAAUAAUGACGCUGUCACGUCAUAAACACGCGUACUUUCUC